rnacentral:rRNA from 1 species
GAUUUUAAAGGGCCGCGGUAAUUUGACCGUGCAAAGGUAGCAUAAUCGUUAGUUUUUUAAUUGGAAUCUUGUAUGAAUGGUUUGACAAAAGAAAAUCUGUCUCUAUUUUUUUCUUUGAAUUUAACUUUUAAGUGAAAAGGCUUAAAUAGUUUAAAAAGACGAUAAGACCCUAUAAAGCUUUAUAAAUUGUUUGUUACUAAGUUGAAUUAAUAAAUAAUAGUUUAGUAAGGGAAGUUUAUUUUAUUGGGGGGAUAGUGGUAAAAUGUUUAUUAACUGUUAAAAUUUUUAGACAAAUAUAGUUGAGUAAAGUUGUAUAAAUUGAUCCUGAAAUAUAGAUUAAAAGUUUAAGUUACUUUAGGGAUAACAGCGUUAUUUUUUUUGAGAGUUCAUAUCGAAAAAAAAGUUUGCGACCUCGAUGUUGAAUUAAAAUGUCUGUACAA